GAUGGGUCAUUCCAAAGGACAGGCUUCAGUCUUGGUUUUUCAACUUAUGGGUUCUUCUUGAGAUCUCUCUCUGGUUCUUCGUGAUAACUUUCUUCUUCUAUUUUGAUUUCUGUUUCUUGUGAUCUCACAUGAGAUCUUAGUCGAUUUGAAAGAACCUUGUGAAAUACAUCUUGCUACAGUAUUUUUGGUCGAUUGUAAGGCCCGUGAUGUGUUGGUUAGGCAGUAAGGUACUUUGUUUACCGGUGAUUAAGGUGUGAUUUGUGAGAUCCUUUUGGAUCAAAUAUUAGAUCUGGUGUCCGAUUAUGGUUUUAGUGUAUUCUCUCUAUAUCUUGGAAGGUUAUUUUUGCACAUGGUGAAGAGGCUAGUCUCUGAGUCCCUCAGAUUAGGGGUUUUCACUGAUCUGGGUUGAUUUCUCUUGCAAGUACUUUGGGCAAUGAUAUAGGGCCAAGUCCGUUUUAUGUGCAAUCUAGCAUACUAGAGACAGUAGAUAAUUUGAGAACCAAGGUGAAGAUUGUAAAAAACGUGUUUCUCAAAUCAAUACUUUAGUAAGGGCAAAAACAUCAUUUGGAUGUGGAAGGCCCAAGUGGCAACCCCCAAUUGGCUGUUGGUGCUUCACUCGAGUUGUGCUUCUUCAAACGUUAUCCUGGUCGUCCAUUUUUUGAUCACUGGUUGAGAACUAAUAUGAUACAAUUGGUUUGGCAUUUGAGGGGUCAUUUCAAAGGAUGGGAUGCAGUCUUGGUUUUCCAAGUUUUGGGGUUCUUCUAGAGACCUUGAUUCUUCUUCUAUUUUUGGUUUCUGUUUCUUAUGAUUUCACAUUAGAUCUUAAUCGAUCUGAAAGAACCCUGUGAAAUACAUCUUGCUAUAUUAAUUUUGGCCGACUGUAAGGCUUGUGAUGUGUAUAUUUUGGUUUGGCAGUAGGGUUCUUGGUUUAUUGGUGAUUAAGGUGUGAUUUGUAAGAUCCUUUUGGUUCAAGGAUAAGAUCUAGUGUCUAAUUUUGGUCUCAGUGUAAUCUCUGUCUCUUGGAAGGUUAUUUUGCACAUAGUGAACAUGUUAGUCUAUUAGCUCCCUAGAUUAGGCUUUUUCACGGAACUGGGUGAACAAUGGUUUGUGUUUUUACUGCUUUUGUGCGUGAUUGAUUGGUUAUUUCUCA